AAGUUCCAUUGGCAAUCUCAUCGUGAUGAUUCAAAUAAUAUAUGAUCAAUCUACAUUCUAGUUCCAAAUGCUAUAUCUUAUCCACGACACAGUUUCUCUAUCUAAACAAAAAGAAGCAUCCUUGAAUAAAAUCAAGAUUAGAAUCAAAUAAAUUUAAAAACUUGAUACGAACUUUAGCAACUUGAAUGUUGAUUGAGUCUGGGAUCUCUCUUUGAAGAAGCACACCAUCGGCAUUCCUCACUAUCUCAAGCUCAUCAUCGCUCAUCUUCUCAGUCCACCCUCUCAUAUUAGCACCACCUACAAUAAUGAUCGAGUUCUGUCCGUCCAUUUCACAGAGAAAAUGUAAGAGGAUAAGCCUCAUAAGUUCGUUAUAAUUCCUGAGAAAAGAAAGUUACCUUGAUAUCAGUGAGAAUAUGGAAGACACCAUACCGUGCACGAUAUCAAUAGCUGAACAAAUUGUAUGUAACUGGUUUUAUUGUGUGUAAUCCAGACUACUCGGAUUACUAUGAUAACUGGUUUUAUUGUGUGUAAUCCAGACUACUCGGAUUACUGGGUUUAUUAUGUGUAAUUCAGAUUACUAAGAUUACUUGGUUUUAUUAUGUGUAAUUUGAAACUCUUGUAUAUUGCAAGUAGUGCGUAUAUUUAACAUAUAGAAUCCAUAUAUUAUCUAUUAGUAGACUAUCUAUAUAGUAAAUAAGACUAUUAAAACUAUUUAGAUAAUUAUUUUCUAUAGUUUUAGGAAUAUUUAUUAGUUUCCCAAAAUGAUUCCUUAACUUUCAUGGUUGUUGUAUGAAUCAUAAGGCUUUAAUAAGAAUAAUCUAUAAAAAUACUUAUUUCUCGUAAACUUUAUAUGUAAUACUCUUAAUUAAUGACAUUCACUGUAUAAAAUCACUGGUUUUACUACCAAAUAUUUCAUCUGGACAUAGUUUUACUAAUAAAACUUAAAAUUUGCCAAAGUAUUACUAUGUGUAAAGUAGUUUUACUACUACCUUGAAGUUUACCAAGAAUUACUAAGUAUAAUUAAAAUGUUAAAUUUAUGUAUAUAACAGCUGCACGUUUUACAUGAUUACUUUUUAAAUUAUUAUUUUAACAUGUAUUAUGCAUACACUUUUUACAUGAAUCUUUUUUAAAUUAUUAUUUUAAUAUAUGCUAUGCAUAUACAUUUUAUAUGAGUAUUUUUAUAUUAUUAAUUUAACAUGAGCAAAACAAAACGAAUUUUAUGAAGAGAAAUUCUUUUGGAUAUCCUUUUGGAUAUACUUUUUUAGUUUAUUUUCACAAAAAUACUUUUUCGGAGAGAAAAAUGACCAAAAUAAGUUUUAUUAAAAGGUAAAAUAUGCAUUUAUACAUCUUGGAUUAACUAAUCUUGACUUAGGGUUUAGAGUUAAGGGUGGGGUUUAGGGAUGGUUUCAAAUUAUAAAAAAUAAAAAUUAAAUAUUAAAAAUUUCAAAAUAAAAAUACUAUUUUGGUCAUUUUAUUUUUUGAGAGCUAUUUUUGUGACAAAAAAAUUAAAAAAAACUAUUUGAGAGAAUUGCCAUUUUAUGAAACAUAAAACGUUUUAAAAAUCUAAAAUAAGAAGAUAAAUGUUUUUAAUCAAAAUAACAAUGGGGAUUAAUAAAAGAUAAAAGGAGAAUGUGUCACAUCUAAAGAAGAUAAUGAAAACUAUACUAAUCAAAAUUGAGUGUAUAAUUAAAUAUUAACAUUUAUUUAAAUAAAAAAUAACCAAAAAUAAAUAAACGAUAUAUUUAAAUCUUUUUCUAUAUUUAAUAUGAUGUGAUUACAAAACUGUAUGUGUUCAUUUAGUAGUUACGGUUCGACAACUCGCCUCCCUGAUAUUACAGAUCCAAUACCAAUACUCUCACAACGCUCAAAGAACUGCUUAGGACCUUCCGCUCUUCUCGAAGACUUUUUUUCUCUGGAAAAUUGUGCAAGUUAUCUUGAUCGGCUUCUCUGUCAGCCAGAACACACGGCCUCUCCUUUCUCUGUUCUCCUUAUCAGCACGCUUCCGCUGCUCUCUUUGCAUCUUGAGCAUCGUUUUAUCAUCGCAAAGGUCAUUUUGAUCAGCAUUAUAAUCACUGCGUGAAGCAACAUAAUAAUAAGUCAAGAUUCUUUUUUCCUAAAGCCUAAAGGAUAUAACUAUUAGCAAAAAGCAACCACCACAAUAUCAUAGAGAGAGACAGACAUACAAACCUGCCCCAUGUCACCAAGUAACGUCUGCAAUGUUAUUAAAAGUGGCUUAGAGAUCUAAAAGAAUGAAGGGCAGAAGAAUCCUUCAUAGAGAAACUAAUAGUUUAACUUACUAAGCAUAGAGGCUGAGAUGUCAAGACCUAUCCAUCGGUGCCCAUUCUCUGAGAUUGUUUCCCCGCUCAGGCCAGAUCCACAACCUGAACCACAAUUAUAGAUUAUUAGUCACUCUCUGCGUUUGCAACAAAGCCAAAGAGUUAAGAUUGCACAAUGUCGAAAGAGAUACUAAAAAGUAAAACAAUUGAUGAUCGGUCUAAAAGAAAAAAUCUUGGGAUAGGGCUACAUCCAUUCAACGUUUAGAAACACUACAAGAAAACAUAUUUUUUACUAGGACAGUAUUCGUUGUAAAUUCGUCAUAAACGGAGUGUUACAACGAAUUAACCUCGAAAGAAGUUUCGUUGUUAAACGUCCGUCGUAACGGAGGUUUCUUCGUAAACGACUCGUUACGUUUACGACAAAAUAUAUUCUUCGUAAAGCGCAGGGAAAGAAUUCGUCGUAAACGACACGUAAGAUUUCGUGGUAAAACCCACGUAAUGAUUUCGAUGUAAAGCACAUGUAAAUACUUUCGUUGUAAAUCACUCGUAAACAUUUCGAUGUAAAACCCUCGUAAAUCUUUCGAUGUUAAUCACUCGUAAACACUCGAUGUAAACUCCAUGUAAUGUUUACGAGGAGUUUACAUCGAUUCUUAUUAUAUUAUUAUUAAUUAGUAUAUAAUAAAUUUUAAUUUAUAUUUAAUAUUCAGAAUUUAAAAUAAUUUAAAUUUUAAAACGAAAUAUAAAAUUGAAAAACAUAUUUUAAAAAUGCAUUUAAAAGUCAUACAAUAAUAUUUAAAUUCAUAAUCAUCAUCAGUAGAUUAAAAAGAUAAACUUUACCAACAUGUCAAGUAGGAAUCGGGUUGACACUGUUAGCGUUUAGGUUACUGAGAAGAUUAGUAGUGAUUAUCAACAAUCGGGUUUUUUAAAGAAUUGAUAAUAACACAUAUGAACAUAAGUGAUUCAAGCUAGGAAUCAAAGAAGGUCCUUACCUGGGUGACUGAGUUUCAAAGAGACAGCUGAGAGAUCAUGGGAAGAAGAAGAGCGGUGAAGAAUGUUUUUAGGGUUUAGUAUAAGACGGGGAAAACUUUCCAAACUUGCAAUUGAUGAUUGUGGCUCGUAUAUCUGUCGCAAUAGAAGAGAGUUGAGAUGGAGAGAUGGACCAAAUGGGAGGCUUUCCCGAGCAAGAAGAAACUAGGUUAGGAUCCGGGUUUUAACCCGUUUAGGUUUGGGUGGACCGGAUAGAUUAGGUUGGAUCUAAUAAUAAACUCAUUUCAUUAACGGUCUUUUCGACUUUACACGCUUUAUGUAUUUAAAUUUAAUUCAAAAUAAAUUAUUAUAUAUUAUUUUUAAUAACAGGGAUAUAUGGGGAAUUUACGAGAACCCUUGAGGCAUAUUGAGUUAAAGUCCUCCAUUUUUCUCCAUAAGAAUAAAAAUCUAUUUAUUUUUUUAUCUUUUAUGAUUCCAUACUCUUAUAUCUCUCCCUCCAUCUCCGCCGAUUCAAUCUCUUAACUUUCUCAUUUCCCUGUAAAAAGGAAGAGCCUUCCUUCUCCUCCUUCAAUUCCACCAUAAAACCCUAGAAUAAAGCUCCAUCUUUUAACUUCGUAAUGACAAAAUCUCAUCUCUGUUUCCUCCUCUCCUCACUAAACUUCGCAGCUUCUCAGACCAGCGUCGACGCUCAACUAUGCAAGCCCUCAAAUCGAGCCUAAACCUCACUAAAAGACGUAGACUGGUCCAACCCCAACCCUUGUAAAUGGCCAACCGUUCAAUGUGACGAAAGCAACAUAGUCACGAGAAUCCAACUCAAAACGAAAGGAAUCCAAGGAACCCUCCCUCUGAAACCAGAGCCAGAUCUCUCCGGUUUAACCCGGUUACAGACCCUCUCCACCCAAGAAGCUUACCUCGAGAACAACCCUUUCUCUCCCUGGGAGAUGACCAUGGACAAGCAGAAGACCGGGUUAGCCAUCCACAUUUGCUACAAGUCUAGCUAAUUUUCUAUUUUUUAACUUAUGUACGUAUAUUAGCAACAUACACUUGGCAAAUACCUUGCUACCAUUCAAUUUUAUCUGUCAUUUACAAUGUCUAGACACACAAUGACUCUGCUUGUAUUGCUAAUCGUUUGUUUGUACUAUCAGAUAAGCUUGCAUCUGAAUUGUAUGUCAACUGGACUUAGUCUGCCAAAUAGACGUAUAGCCUGCCUCUUCUUUUGUUUGCUUGCUACUUGUUUUAUUAUCCUCUAUGUUUCUGUUUGAUGGCAGGUACUUUUCCACAAGUUAUGAUUUUCUAAUUACUAGUUAUGAACGUAUAGAAACUUUGCUUCCUCAGUUGUUCUGAUAUAUGAAAAUUCUUGUUAUUUUGAGAGAUAGAGAGAUAUCUGAACCAAAGUCCGGCAUGAAGUAAUGGGGGGGAAAAGGCAAAAAAGGCAACGUUCAUUUCAGGAACAGAGGCUGCAAAGAAGUGUUUGACUGUUUUCAAUCUUCAAUAGUUUUAGGAGUGUUCUAUUGUUUUUACCAUCAUCGCUCGUCACCACCACCACCACGACCACAACAGUUCGACCUCUCUGCCUCUCUCUCUCUAUCUGUUUUGAACUCAUUUUGUCGUGAGCAGAGGAUCAGUUCCUUGCCUCUCCUUGGGGUUGAUCAAUUCUAGAUAUAACCAGAACUUAUAACUCUGGUUGCUACUUUUGUCAUUAAAUAUGUUAACUAUUUAUGUUAGACUAGCAUUUAAACAGAAUUGUUAGGUUUUUUUGUGUUGCUAAUAUAUGUACUCGAUGUCCAAUAUUUAAGGUCAGAAAAAAAAAUAUUUUUUAAACU